AGAAGGCAUGCUGAUGAGCUGCAUCUGUAAGAGACACUCCUAUGGUUUCGGUUUUAUACCUCUGGUGGGGCAGGCUGGAAUGUUAUUGGUGAAAUGCACAUGGCAGAUGGAAUUUGAACCCAACAUUCUGGCCCAGAGAUAGAGAUCCCACCACUGUGACACAAGAGCCGUCCCAUCAUCAGGAUAAAAGACAUCACUGGCCAGGUCAGCAUUUAUUGCCUAUCCCCAAUUGCC